CCUGCCGGACCUGACUGCUAUCGGAUUGAUACUAAGCCAUGCGAGUCUUUGUAGUAAUACAAGGCAGACGGCUCAGUAACACGUAGUCAACCUACCCUAUGGACAAGAAUAAUCUCGGGAAACUGGGCAUAAUUCUUGAUAGAUCAUAAUGCCUGGAAUGGUUUAUGGUUAAAAUGAUUCGUCGCCAUAGGAUGGGACUGCGGCCUAUCAGCUUGUUGGUGAGGUAAUGGCCCACCAGGGCGAUUACAGGUACGGGCUCUGAGAGGAGAAGCCCGGAGAUGGGUACUGAGACACGGACCCAGGCCCUAUGGGGCGCAGCAGGCGAGAAAACUUUGCAAUGUGCGAAAGCACGACAAGGUUAAUCCGAGUGAUUUCUGCUAAAGAAAUCUUUUGCCAGUCAUAAAACCACUGGUGAAUAAGGGGUGGGCAAGUUCUGGUGUCAGCCGCCGCGGUAAAACCAGCACCUCAAGUGGUCAGGAUGAUUAUUGGGCCUAAAGCAUCCGUAGCCUGCUCUGUAAGUUUUCGGUUAAAUCUGUAUGCUCAACAUACAGGCCGCCGGAAAUACUGCAGGGCUAGGGAGUGGGAGAGGUAGACGGUACUCGGGAGGAAGUGGUAAAAUGCUUUGAUCUUUCGAUGACCACCUGUGGCGAAGGCGGUCUACCAGAACACGUCCGACGGUGAGGGAUGAAAGCUGGGGGAGCAAACCGGAUUAGAUACCCGGGUAGUCCCAGCUGUAAACUAUGCAAACUCAGUGAUGCAUUGGCUUGUGGCCAAUGCAGUGUUGCAGGGAAGCCGUUAAGUUUGCCGCCUGGGAAGUACGUACGCAAGUAUGAAACUUAAAGGAAUUGGCGGGGGAGCACCACAAGGGGUGAAGCCUGCGGUUCA
rnacentral:rRNA from 1 species